CACGUAGGGGACGAGCGUUGUCCGGAUUCAUUGGGCGUAAAGCGCGCGUAGGCGGCUCGGAAAGUCGGGCGUGAAAUCUCCGGGCUUAACUCGGAACGGCCAAGUGAAACUGUCAUGCUAGAGUGCAGAAGGGGCAAUCGGAAUUCUUGGUGUAGCGGUGAAAUGCGUAGAUAUCAAGAGGAACACCUGAGGUGAAGACGGGUUGCUGGGCUGACACUGACGCUGAGGCGCGAAAGCCAGGGGAGCAAACGGG
rnacentral:rRNA from 1 species